rnacentral:rRNA from 1 species
GAUGAACGCUAGCUACAGGCUUAACACAUGCAAGUCGAGGGGAAACGGCAUCGAAAGCUUGCUUUUGAUGGGCGUCGACCGGCGCACGGGUGAGUAACGCGUAUCCAACCUGCCCAUCACUUGGGAAUAACCUUGCGAAAGUAAGACUAAUGCCCAAUGACAUCCCACGAAGGCAUCCGAAUGGGAUUAAAGAUUUAUCGGUGAUGGCUGGGGAUGCGUCUGAUUAGCUUGUUGGCGGGGUGACGGCCCACCAAGGCAACGAUCAGUAGGGGUUCUGAGAGGAAGGUCCCCCACAUUGGAACUGAGACACGGUCCAAACUCCUACGGGAGGCAGCAGUGAGGAAUAUUGGUCAAUGGGCGAGAGCCUGAACCAGCCAAGUAGCGUGCAGGAUGACGGCCCUAUGGGUUGUAAACUGCUUUUAUAAGGGAAUAAAGUGGGUCACGUGUGACUUUUUGCAUGUACCUUAUGAAUAAGGACCGGCUAAUUCCGUG